CAGGACCACAUCAUCCGCAAAAAGCAGAGAUGCGAUCCUAAGGCCACCAAAACGGAUCCCCUCAACACCUCGAUUGAAUUCUCUUGCUAAAUUUCUAUUCACAAAUUCUGCUUUCUAAAAUUCACCUCUUUAAAUUUCUUAAGUGAAAUAGUUUUAAGAAAGUGCUUAGACAUUGCAAGAAUACAAAAAGCCUAAUCUUUAUAGUAAUAGCAGUCUAAUUUAAGAUUUGAAAUUCCUCUUGCAUUUGUAACACUUUCUUUCUCAGUUCGACUAUUUUUUUUCUGCUCAGUUUAUUAUAUCAAACUUUUUUGUUUCUCUUGUGUGCUUUAUACUAUUUUCUUUGCAUUUUCAAUAAAGACAAACAUUUUCAGAAUUCUGUCUUUUAAUUCAAAAUGUCAUAUGCAGCAAUGAAUUGUGGGUCUGCUGAAGUCUUAGGCUUAGCAGAUGUAUGGAAAUAGGACCCAAAAGGAGCAGGACGAAUCCCGGAUGCCGAGAAUUGGGAGUCAUUACGCCCUCAAACCCUUCAACGUGAUAUUGGGACCAGACCUUUCAGUGUCUAAAGAUUCAAUUCAGAUGCUUAGGGUAACGAUUUGAUCCAGAAAAAAAAAUUGAUUUGGAAACCAAUUUUUCUAUUCAAACGGUCUAGAGAUUCUGCUUAAAUUAUACUAUUGAUGAGAGGAAAAAACAGUGUUUCUAACUUUGCAACCUUUUUGCUGCAUUUAGUACAGAAACAAAUUGGUGCAGGCCAAAAUAGGUUUGAUUUUUUACAAUAGCGGUUAUCUGUCAGAAAACUGAAAUCGGUGCACCCUCUACUUUCUUUUAAUAAUAAUAAUCAGUCUUUAGAACAAUUGAUGCUUGAAUAUGUCUACAUAUUUGACAGAACAUUCCUAAGGAAAAAUGGAUUGAAAAUGUUUUCAUUUUACGUGAUGUGUAUUUGUCUUUGUCUUAAAUAAAUCUCUUUAUAUACUGUAUUCUUCUCCCUUUCCCAUUAACUAUCAUAUAACUAUCAAAUAUCCAUACCAAGCUCAGUAUUGCAUAGCUGAGAAGGGAGGCAUUUUCCCUCAGACAUCCAAACAAGUUCAACACCUUUUAUUCAAUGAUGACUGGAUUUUCUCUUCCAAGGCAGAUGCAGGGCAUGAACGUCUUAUGCUAUUUCUGCUUGCAUCUUUGCUAUAAGUACCAUGCGGCUGUGUGUCUGUGCGCUUUCUGUCAGCUUGUUCGCCUGCUGGUGAGGGCAGCUGAUUCAGUGCAUGAAAAAUAAUACUGAAGAAAUAUAAAAAAUAAAAUCUAAAUACAUAAAUACGUGAUAAGUUUCUUAUUAUUGUUAUGGUUAUUUAAAAUAUAUUUCUUAGUACUGGAUGUGGUCUCAACAGUUUUUGUACAUAUGUUUUGGCAGUGCUGUGGCAUUUUAAACGGUGUCUGUUCUUGCCACAGUACCUUGUAUUAAUUACUGCUCGAAAUGUCUUGCCAUAUAGGUUUAUUCCUCUGUAUUUAGUUUGAAUUUAUUCUUUUUUUAAAUUGAAAUUUUAUCGAUUUUCUGAAUAUUAUCACACAUAAAGAAUAAACAAAAACAAAAAAGGCUGGUGCAGAGAAAAUGCUAAGUUUAACGCGUGGAGAAGAGAUAUUCACAAAGACAUACAUGAAUAAGACUAGAAUUAGGCUUGUUUAAAAGCACUAAAACAAAUGAUAAACACACUAUUUUAAAUUCUGCAGUAUAAAUUGUUUGAGAACCUAUAUAGCACCUGUUAGACUCCAUUAUAUGUCCAGAUACUUGCAUAUGACUCUUAUUUGAAAAAGGAACUCUUCUCCAUUGUCUUUGGCAGUGUUUCUCAACUGCUUUUGGGCCAGCGCCCCCUAUCCAUUAUCCAGGUCCCUUACCGCCCCUCUUCAAAUGAGAUGAGCUGCUACUUGUGUUGAUAUUAUGAAUAGUGUUGUUUCUGAAUUUAUCUUUAAAAAAUUAUUUCCUGAAGCACAUCGCUGAAUGACAGAUAUGCCUAACUUCAGCCAAUCAGAACGGCUAGACAUUUCAGUUCAAACUUUAUUCAACUAUACUAAACAGGAACCAAUCAGAAACAUCCAGCAAUCUACCAUUCAAGUAUUAAUUAAACAACCAAUCAGAAAUGCCAAGCAAUGAACAGAAUCAUUGUUCCAACGGAAAAGAAUCUGCCACUUAAGAACAGAGAACAAAGUAGGAUUUUAAGGCAGAUUUUCAAAGGCAAUUCAUUUGAAAAACUAAUGGGAACCCUGCACCUGGUGUUUUUCUGCCAGUUUCUUGGUUGCGGGCUGCAGACAAGUAAGUUUCAGCCAUAGUGCACCAGAAGCUGCCAAGUCCAAACGAUUUCGAUACUUAGACUGCAUGUGGAGGACCUGGUUGAAUGCCUGCUCCACGAGAUAUGUGGUUGGGAAAGCAACAAGAAGCAGCCUAGCCUUCUCCCAAAAAGCUUGAUAACGUGUGGCAUAUUUAGUCCACAUGCUGCCCCAGCCCAACGUACAAAAAAUGGCUUGGACAUCAACAAGAUGCUCCUGGAUGGCAAUCUUACAGUCGACUGAACCACCCAGACAAGAACUUCAAGAUCCAGAAGGUCCCUGAAGCGCAUUGCCAGAUCAUCCUGAACCAUUUUCAGGUGUUCCACGUAAAUGAGCUGUCAGUCAUCGGUAAGCUCCUCAGACACCUGUAAUGAUUAGGCUAUUAUUAUUAUUAUUAUUAUUAUUAUUAUUAUUAUUAUUAGCAAUGCAAUAAUUCAUUGAAAUUAAAUAAGUGUAAUUAAUUAUGAUAACCACCUUUGUCAACUGUGGGAAAUGAGACUGUGGAUGACUGCUUUGCACUGGACAAGAAUGCCAUUUCCUUGGAGCUUUAAUGUGACUGUUCAUUUUUUCAAAGAUGUCUGAUGGGUACCUGAUGUCACAGUGGGUGGAAGUCACCUGUUACCCCAGAGCUGCAUCGACUGACUCCAAAAACUCCACAAUGGAGUCGAACAGACUACAAAAACGAACAAGGCAGUUUCCCUUUGAGAGCCAGGGCACAUUUGUGUGGAGAAGAUGCUGAACUGAAAAAUCUCAUCAUUCUCCUGGCAUAGCUCUCGGAAUUGUCUGUCAUUUAGGGCGUGGGCUUUUAUUUUGUUAACUGCCUUGGCUGCGAUACUGAGGGACUCAUUGAGAGCUGGAUUUUUACAUUUGGCCACAAGAUUGUGACAGUACAGGACACACUUUACUGUCAGCACCUUCAGGACCUGCUCCUUAAGAAGAGCAGUGAAGCCGCCUUACCUGCCAACCAUCAAGGGAGCACGGUCAAUGGGUCAAUGCCAGAAUAUUUGUUAUUGGGAUGGACUUUUCCUGUAAAAAGCCAUGAACACCAUUGAAAAUGGUCUGACCCUUUGUGUGUUUUUAGACAUUUUGAAAAUAAAAAUUCUUCAGCCAUGUCCUCACUGCUGGGGCCCUUAAAGCAGACGUAAGCCAUCAACAGAGCAUUGAUGUCGGGAGUGGUCGUCUCAUCCAGCUGAAGGUGUCAUUGCCGAGUGAUAAGGAUUUCUGCACCUGCGUGGGGUAAAUGGUAAACACAGCGGAAGUUGUGUUUAUUGGAAAAGGUAUAAACCCAUAAUCAAGGUAUUCAAUCGAGUACUGACGACAUUUCGUCUUGUUCUGUGCCAUUUUCAAAUACGCUUCUUGCUAGUCUCGCAAAAACAACUGAAAAUGUCGCGCAAAAAUAUGACAUAUCACUUUUGUGCGGGCCACAUAUAGUUACUUAUAUGGCAGACUUAAUAACAGGCUUUUUGUUCAUGGAGUUUGCUUUGACAUUGCUUUGUGCCGUUUUAGAUUAAAUAAACCUCUUACGUGUUCCAUGAUUUGUGUUUUCGCAUUAUAUUUUUUUCAUAGAUGUAUCAAAGAUUGUAACUGACGUUGAGACUUUAAAGUUCACAACAAUACAGAUUCAUUGAGCUACAAAGAAAAGUCGCAGUGGUCAGCUAAUAUUGGGCCAGCGUUGCACCGACAAGAGGGGCAGGAAUUACUGUCGAUGUCUUAUUUAUAUGUUUGUGUUUAGUUUAACUGCACAUUUUAGACUGGUGAAAUGCAAUUUCAAACUUCUGUGUUAACCUUGUUACAUAGAUCUUUGACAAUAAAGUACACUUGACUUGAAUAUUGCUGCCAGCGCCCUCAGUCAUCCUCUCAAAACCCUAAUCUGGUGGACCAAAGCAGUGGUGUGGGGACAAUCAUUUCAUCUUGAAUGU